UCCUACAACAAAAAAUAUCUGUCUACAGACAAAAUGUGUCCGAUCUCAUAUGAUCUUGGAAGCUAAGCAGGGUCAGGCCUGUUUGGUAGUUGGAUGGGAGACCACCUAGGAAGACUAGGUGCUGUAGGGG
rnacentral:rRNA from 1 species